rnacentral:rRNA from 1 species
AAGACCAAUAAAAUYCAYGCCUCWACUUUAUACACACCACCGCAACCCAAAMWMYAACAGUCUUCAGUUGGGGCAACUACGGAGUAAAAAUAACCCUCCAAGAWGAACCGGAAUYYUCCUAAACUAAAAGCCACAGCUUUAUGUAUCAAUAAAAUGACAUUAUUAGACCCAAUAUUYYGAUUAACGAACUAAGUUACCCUAGGGAUAACAGCGCAAUCCACUCUAAGAGUCCCUAUCGACGGGUGGGCUUACGACCUCKAUGUUGGAUCAAGGCAUCCCAGUGGUGCAACCGCUACUAAAGGUUCGUUUGUUCAACGAUUAAAGCCUUACGU